rnacentral:rRNA from 2 species
GAACUGAAGAGUUUGAUCCUGGCUCAGAUUGAACGCUGGCGGCAUGCCUUACACAUGCAAGUCGAACGGCAGCACGGGGGCAACCCUGGUGGCGAGUGGCGAACGGGUGAGUAAUACAUCGGAACGUGUCCUGUAGUGGGGGAUAGCCCGGCGAAAGCCGGAUUAAUACCGCAUACGCUCUACGGAGGAAAGGGGGGGAUCUUAGGACCUCCCGCUACAGGGGCGGCCGAUGGCAGAUUAGCUAGUUGGUGGGGUAAA